GACGAACGCUGGCGGCGUGCCUAAUACAUGCAAGUCGAGCGCAUGCACCCGGCGGACCUCUUCGGAGGGAAACCGGGGAAUGGAGCGGCGGCCGGGUGAGUAACACGUUGGCAACCUGCCCUCCAGACGGGGAUAACUCCGGGAAACCGGAGCUAAUACUCGAUAAUCAAGCCGAUCUCCUGAUCGGCGUGUAUAAGCAUGGUCUUCGGACCUUGCACUGGAGGUUGGGCCUGCGGCGUAUUAGCGAGUUGGAGAGGUAAGGGCCCUCCAAGGCGACGUUACGGAACCCGACGGGAGUGGGGGUCCGCCCACCUGGGAGCGUGACCAGGCCCAGUACCCCUAGGGAAGCAGCCAUAGGGGAACAUGCGGCAGGGGUGGAAGUCUGACGGUGGAACGCCGCCUGGGGGAUGAAGGGUGUCGGGUCGUAAAGACCUGUUGUGGGGGAAGAAAAAGGUCGGUACUAACAGGGCCGCUGCCUGACGGUACCUGACCAGAAAGCCCCGGCUAACUACGUG
rnacentral:rRNA from 1 species